UACGUAGGGGGCAAGCGUUGUCCGGAUUUAUUGGGCGUAAAGAGCGUGUAGGCGGUUAGGUAGGUCCGUUGUGAAAACUCGAGGCUCAACCUCGAGACGCCGAUGGAAACCAUCUGACUAGAGUCCGGAAGAGGAGAGUGGAAUUCCUGGUGUAGCGGUGAAAUGCGCAGAUAUCAGGAAGAACACCCGUGGCUAAGGCGGCUCUCUAGUACGUGACUGACGCUGAGGCGCGAAAGCGUGGGGAGCGAACAGG
rnacentral:rRNA from 1 species